rnacentral:rRNA from 1 species
AGUGAACGCUGGCGGUAGGCCUAACACGUGCAAGUCGAACGGCAGCACAGUAAGAGCUUGCUCUUACGGGUGGCGAGUGGCGGACGGGUGGGGAAUACAUCGGAAUCUACUUUUUCGUGGGGGAUAACGUAGGGAAACUUACGCUAAUACCGCAUACGACCUACGGGUGAAAGCAGGGGAUCUUCGGACCUUGCGCGAUUGAAUGAGCCGAUGUCGGAUUAGCUAGUUGGCGGGGUAAAGGCCCACCAAGGCGACGAUCCGUAGCUGGUCUGAGAGGAUGAUCAGCCACACUGGAACUGAGACACGGUCCAGACUCCUACGGGAGGCAGCAGUGGGGAAUAUUGGACAAUGGGCGCAAGCCUGAUCCAGCCAUACCGCGUGGGUGAAGAAGGCCUUCGGGUUGUAAAGCCCUUUUGUUGGGAAAGAAAAGCAGCAGGUUAAUACCCCGCUGUUCUGACGGUACCCAAAGAAUAAGCACCGGCUAACUUCGUG